AUGAACUAUAUUAGUUUGCAAGUGUUGAGAACUGCAACAUCCAAUUUUUCUGUAAACAAUAAACUGGGGGAGGGAGGAUACAGAGAGGUUUUUAAGGGUGAAUUGCAGGACGAAAAGGAAAUAGUCGUCGAAAGGCUGUCAGCAAACUCUGCUCAAGGGUUCAAUGAGCUGAAAAAUGAUCUAGUGUUAACCAACAAACUUAAGCACAAGAAUCUGGUGCAGCUUCUCUGUGUUUGCUUGCAAGAGAAACUGCUGGUGUACGAAUAUAUGCCUAAUGGAAGCCUAGACACGACCCUUAUCGGUAAUUCUCCCAGCUCAUCUUAUUAA
rnacentral:rRNA from 1 species